GUGCCAGCCGCCGCGGUUAUACAAAUAAUACAAAUAAAUUUUUUUAGUAAUAGUUAAAUUGUAAUAAUUAAAUUAAAAAUAAAUUUAUUAGGUGAGAUUUUAAAUUUAUAAAAAUUUUAAUAAAGUUAAUUGAAGCUAAGAAAUUUUAUUUAUAAACUAGGAUUAGAUACCCUAUUAUUUAAAAUGUAAUUUAAUUACUAAAGUAAUAAUAGUUAUGUUCUUGAAACUUAAAAAAUUUGGCGGUAUUUUAGUCUAUUCAGAGGAACCUGUUCUGUAAUCGAUAAUCCACGUUGGACCUUACUUAAGUUUGUUUUUCAGUCUAUAUACCGUCGUUAGCAGAAUAUUUUAAAAGAAAAAUAAUUUUCAAAAAUUUAAAAUUGAAUAUAUAUCAGAUCAAGGUGUAGCUAAUAUUUAAGUAGAAAUGGGUUACAAUAAAUAUAUUUUUGGAUUUAGAUAUGAAAAAUCUAUUGAAAUUGGAUUUGAUAGUAAAAUUAUAUAGAUUAAUAAUUUGAUUAUAGCUCUAAAAUAUGUACACAUCGCCCGUCGCUCUUAUUAAUAAGAUAAGAUAAGGCGUAACAAGGUAGA
rnacentral:rRNA from 1 species